rnacentral:lncRNA from 1 species
UCGCGGCGACAACACCGGCUGUGUUCCCUGCUGCUGGCGAAUGAUGAAUACAGGAGGCGAGCGCCUCUGAGGCAGUUCCUCUGCGGCGAGAGGGUCGCGGGCUCUGGCAGGCAGGCAGGCUGCUCCCUCUCCCUCUCUCCCUCUCCGAAGAAGGCGCGUCCGGCUUCCCGGUUAGCUGUGUGCGCGCCCUACGCCGGGAGCCUAGCUCGAACCAGAGCCCCAGCUCGGGGGCUGCCAAAGGAAGGGCUCCGCUGCAGUGGCGCCAGCCCGGGCCGCGGGAGAAGCCGCCGUUCCCGCGCCCACUCCUCCCCGAAGGGUAGGCUUCUCGCCGCCUGGUUGCUCAGAGAGAGCCAAAGUCCCGGGGACUUCUCUUGGUCAGUAGUCAGACGAGGAGGCGGCAGCCAGAAGGAGGUCAGCUGUUGCCCCCACGGUGAACGAGUCUGUCCGCUUGACCCGCCGUGGGCAGAAGGGGAUCGAGGCAAAGAGGAGAAGGCAGCAGCUCGUUGGCAUCUAGCGCCGGGGACUGCCGGGGAGCCUGGACGAAACAGGAUGGUUGGGCUGCUCCGACUCCGAGCCGGCUGCAGGGCAGCUCUUUUCCUGUGGAUUUUCAGCAACAUCAGCUGCAGAGCCCGGACAGCCCUCUCGCCCUCCCCGUACCACAAGGACGUUCUGCAGGGUAAGACUGAUGUUGUCAUCAACUGGUCCAUUUUUUUUUUUGAAAAAGUACAUAUUUUGGCCUUCCAUCCCAAGGCCACUAAGGAUCCCAAGUAACCCUUUCAUCAUUGAGAACCUGUGGUGACUAUGAAAGAGGGGUGAGAAGUCGUUAAUUACCAAAAGUCAUCACCACUAGUCAACUUGGAGAUGGUAAUUGUCAAUAAUUAAAGGCUUCUGUCUCUUAUUUCAUAGUUCCACAGUUUCCUGACAAUGAAAAGGAUUAUUUGGGACAUGUAGAGGCAUUGAGAUAAGAGGGGAAAUGUUUUAUUUCUAAAAACUGCAUCAUCCCUACACUGUGGAAGUUACAUAAGCAGAAUGGCAGCCACUUAAUGUAAAGAAUGAAACUCACAUGACUCAAGCGCUUGCUUGUGCUGCUUCCUGUGCUCUGUUCUGGCUAUUGAUGACUCAGCUGUUCUGAGAUUUUUCAUUCUUGCACAAGAACAAAAAGAACAGGUCCUCUUUUUUUUUUGGUCAGUAGCAGCAAUAAAAAAAAUAGUGAUUUUGUGCA